rnacentral:rRNA from 1 species
AGAGUUUGAUCAUGGCUCAGAUUGAACGCUGGCGGCAGGCCUAACACAUGCAAGUCGAGCGCGAAAGUCUUCGGAUGAGUAGAGCGGCGGACGGGUGCGCAACGCGUAGGAAUCUACCUAGUAGUGGGGGACAACUCGGGGAAACUCGAGCUAAUACCGCAUACGCCCUAAGGGGGAAAGUGGGGGACCGUAAGGCCUCACGCUAUUAGAUGAGCCUGCGUAGGAUUAGCUAGUUGGUAGGGUAAAGGCCUACCAAGGCGACGAUCCUUAGCUGGUCUGAGAGGAUGAUCAGCCACACUGGAACUGAGACACGGUCCAGACUCCUACGGGAGGCAGCAGUGGGGAAUCUUGCACAAUGGGCGAAAGCCUGAUGCAGCCAUGCCGCGUGUGUGAAGAAGGCCUUCGGGUUGUAAAGCACUUUAAGUGGGGAGAAAAGGGUAGUCGCCAAUAACGGCUAUCUGUGAUGUUACCCACAGAAUAAGCACCGGCAAACUUUGUGCCAGCAGCCGCGGUAAUACGAAGGGUGCGAGCGUUAAUCGGAAUUACUGGGCGUAAAGAGCACGUAGGCGGUCUGAUAAGCGGAAUGUGAAAUCCCCGGGCUUUACCUGGGAACUGCAUUCCGAACUGUCAGGCUAGAGUGUGGUAGAGGUGAGCGGAAUUUCCUGUGUAGCGGUGAAAUGCGAAGAUAUAGGAAGGAACAUCAGUUGCGAAGGCGGCUCACUGGACCAACACUGACGCUGAGGUGCGAAAGCGUGGGUAGCGAACAGGAUUAGAUACCCUGGUAGUCCACGCCGUAAACGAUGUCUACUAGCCGUUGGAGAACUUGAUUCUUUAGUGGCGUAGCUAACGCGAUAAGUAGACCGCCUGGGGAGUACGGCCGCAAGGUUAAAACUCAAAUGAAUUGACGGGGGCCCGCACAAGCGGUGGAGCAUGUGGUUUAAUUCGACGCAACGCGAAGAACCUUACCAGGCCUUGACAUCCUCGGAACUUUCUAGAGAUAGAUUGGUGCCGCAAGGAGCCGAGAGACAGGUGCUGCAUGGCUGUCGUCAGCUCGUGUCGUGAGAUGUUGGGUUAAGUCCCGCAACGAGCGCAACCCUUGUCCUUAGUUGCCAGCACGUAAUGGUGGGAACUCUAGGGAGACUGCCGGUGACAAACCGGAGGAAGGUGGGGAUGACGUCAAGUCAUCAUGGCCCUUACGGCCUGGGCUACACACGUGCUACAAUGGGGCGCACAGAGGGUCGCAAACCCGCGAGGGGGAGCCAAUCCCACAAAACGCUUCGUAGUCCAGAUUGAAGUCUGCAACUCGACUUCAUGAAGUUGGAAUCGCUAGUAAUCGCAAAUCAGAACGUUGCGGUGAAUACGUUCCCGGGCCUUGUACACACCGCCCGUCACACCAUGGGAGUGGGUUGCAAAAGAAGUGACUAGUCUAACUUCGGAGGACGGUCACCACUUUGUGAUUCAUGACUGGGGUGAAGUCGUAACAAGGUAGCCGUAGGGGAACCUGCGGCUG